UCUUAUUGAAAAUAUUGAUUCAAGAAAUGUAAAUUGUGUUUCAUAAACCAAAGAUGAAGAACUAGCUGCUCGGUUUCUCACCCAAAUGCUGUUAAUCGUGUACUCACCGAGUAUGAAAAAUAAGUUCAUUUUAGAUAGGUGACUUUGGCGAGACAAGAUAUAAAACUGAAAAGCAGUUGUUGAUUUAAACUUUUGGCGUUUUAAUAUUCCUAAAGGGUCAGGUUACAGAUUUGCAUAUAAUGUUAGGCCUAGGAUCAUACUUAUUUGGAAACUUAAAACGGCAAGAAGCCUCUUUGUGAACGUAAUAAUGAAGUGAGACACGCAUUUCACAGUGACUGAAUUUCAAGUAUAGGUGUUACGAAGCAGAUCAACAACCAAAUUGACUGUCAUAUUAAACAUGAAUGAAGAAGAAGGUGGAGAAUCAGCCACAAAUGUUGAAGUUGUUACUCCACAUCAGAUUCAAGGUAGUGUUGAAGGCUGGAAUUUGAAGAUGACAGAGUCUGGAGAGGUUUAUUUCAUUACAGAAGAAGGAGAAGCUGGAGAAAUUAGAGUGUCACCUAAUAGUAUACCAGCUGAUGGUUCGGUACAGUACUUGGCAGUAAAUGAUUCUUCAGUUGACUUGAACAAUGCUUCAGGGAAUGAAAACAUUGUUAUCUAUUCUUCGGCAGUGGAUCAUUCUGUAGAUAUGACAAAAAAUGGUGUCACUGGUCAAAUUGUGCUUAACAAGUACCAAGAAACAUUCCAUAAUGAAGAUAGUGUGGCUGGCAUAUCUUCUGUUUUACCCGAAAAUACUUUAGACGGUGAAGAUCAGUUAGCUAAAACAAAUGCAACCCAACUCAGCAAAAAUGCUCAACAGAUAUCUUACACCAGCCCUGAAGAAGCUCUCUAUACUGUUUCUUCUGACAGAUUAUCAGAAACCAGUACAGUUAAGAGCACAACUAAACCCUAUGCUAGUGAAGAUAUUGUACUCCACCCUGACAGCUCUUGUGGGGUAACAGAGGAUUCUGUACCUGCUCAAGUAAACACUCUCCACCUCCCAGAAACCAUUUUAAAAACAACAGAGAAAGGUGGGCAAUAUUUUGGAACAAAAUACCUUGUUCUACAACAACCAGAUGGCUCCCAGCAACAAUUGUUACUCUUGGAAGAACGUGAAGUAGACCAGACAUAUAAUGAUGGUAAUGUGAGUAUAACUGGAAGUGAACAUUCAAAAAAUGACCUAGAUUUCUUAACUACUGAACAUGUGACAUCAUCCAUGGCUCCAGAUGCAGCUUCGUCACCAACUAGAGCUGUUAGCAGUUUUAAAAGUGACAGCAAAACAAACAGAUUUCUUAAACUUGACCCAUCACAACUUCAGAUCAAAAGAAGUGAUAUAAUUAAAAGCUCUUCACUGAAGAAAGAAGAAAUUUUAAAGAUGUUCAUGGGCAGUAAAACUAACCGGAAGAAAAAGUCUGUCAGUUCAAAACUUCCUACAAAACCUAAUAUGACUGAACCUGUUGUUAUAAAGGAGGUGUUGGAAAGGUUAACAUCAUUAGAAAAAGAAGUUAAGCAAAUUAAUGCCAAUUAUCAACAUAUGAACACCCAGUAUAUUCAAAUGAAUAAACAACUUCAGAAUUUGACAAAAUUAAUAAAGGAGGAAACUAACAAACCAAAGAUGACAACCCCUAGCUCUUCAUCCAUAGGUCAGUUUAAUAACAGGGUUACUGGUAAACCAACAAUUGUGUCUUUAAGACCCUCAGUAGGCUCUCAGCCUCAGUCUUGUUCAUCAAUGACACCUUACUCACAAGCUCCCCCUUUUUCAUUUGAUGAUGAUUCUCGCACCUCAGAUGAUUACAGUGAAUCGGAGCUUUGGGAAGAAGAUGAAAAUAGGCUGGAAGGUGACAAUAUCCAUUGCCUUGAAGACAGCACAAGAGGUGGAAGGUUGGUAGCUUGGAGCCCUCAAAUGACAAAGCUGCUUUUGUCCUUAAGACAAAAACAUGAUGGUCUAUUUAAUGAAGACUUUGUUCAAGGGGAACGUCUAACAAAAAGAAAAGCAUGGAAUAUUAUUGCAAAGAUUAUAACAAAAGUUAGCUCUGUUUAUGUAACAGGAGAUCAAUGUGAAACAAAGUGGAAAAGAGAAACAAACAAGAAAAAACCUUUAGUGCAGGAUGGAAGUAAAAGUGAGAUUCCGAGUCCUUCAGUAAAAUCAGCAGGAAAUAAUCAUACAAAUAUUAGCUCUUCACUAAAUGUGGCUGGAUUGAAAUCUGCAAGAAAACAGCUUAACCCUACAAAGUUAAGCAUACCAUUUUCUUCAAAGUCAGCCAGUGGUUGUUCUGUAAUGUCAAAUGGAAAUACUGAAGCAUCUAUUGUAAUCAGUGAAGAGUCCACUCAAAGUUCUCAGGACAAAGCAGAAGAAAUACAAAAAGAUACCAUAAAAGACAAAAGUGUUGAUAAAGCUGAAACACCAGCUGAAUCUAGUGAUAGAAAACGACCUCGGAAAGAGGAAGACAGUUACAUUCAGACUAUCAAAAAGAUGCACAGUGAUCGGAUGCAGAUUCUAGAAAAGCUAGUUCAAGUGUUUUCUGAAGACACGUAAAUAGCUGCAAGUGGAAAACAUAAUGUAAAGUCGUUUUUUCAAAAUAUAUGUUUAGAUCAUCCACUCAUUGCUCAUAUUCAUUCUCUGAAAUGUUGUUGUUAGUUUUUCUUCUAAACAUAGGUCAUUUUGUCAUAAUUUUUGUAAUAAAUGCUCUAAUCACAUAAUUAUUUUAAGUUGUAUUUUUUUUCUGUCAUAAGAAACACUAGAUAUUAACUGAAUGGAAGAUAAACUGAAAUGAUGGAUAAGUGAGCUAAUGUCAUGUUAAACUGACCUUUCACAGUCAUUUUUCUAAACUUAUUUUGAUGAAUUUUUUUAUUCCUAUCAGUAAAAAAAUUGAGAUAUAAUUAUAGAAUGUAUUGUUUUGCAUGUCACUCGCUGUUCAAUUAUUUAGUUUAAGUCCAGUUGAAUAACUUGUUAUUUUCGUUGUUGUGUCUUAGUCUAUAAUUUACUUGAAUUUAAGCAUUAAAAUUUCUUGACUACUAGAUCAAAAUAAUUACAUUAUGUUUAUACCUUUAAUCUGGCUGUAAUGUUUUAUUAAGAUAUUAAUAAUAAUGAAACAAAUAGUAGGUUUAAAAAAAUUAAUUCAUUUGCCCAUUCGCAAAUGACCAGUCAAAAAACAAAUUCCCCAAAAUUGAGAAGUAUUUCAUAAUUAAUUCGUCUAAAAAUCAUUUUCCUAAACUUGUUUCAAUUUGUUGAUCAGCAUCAUUUCUCACUAGUCAUUAUGUUUGAAUAACAGAGCUAAAACCACAAGAAUAAAGGGCCUAAAGUUAGAAUAAUUUAAGUACUAAUUAAAACUUAUCUUUGAAUAUGCAGGUACUUUGUGUGUGUAAUGAUGAACCUUAUGUAAGAAUAGAAUAUCAAAAUGUUGAAUAAUGUUCAUGUGAAACAAUAAUGAAUGAUUGUUAAUGCAGACUUCAAAUCACUAAGUCCUAUAAAAACAUUUCAAGCAUGCAUAUCUAAAAGAUGGGUAAGAAGGGGCUGGAAACCAUAGAUAAAUGCCACUUGUGCAACCACUGUGAACUUGUUUUUUUUUCUCCACAAUUUUUGCAUUUAGUAGUUGUCAGUGGUUUAUUGUGAUUACAUAUCAGUAUUUUGUUUGUUUGCUUCGGGUGCUGUAAUCCAGUAUUCAAAUAAUCUCUGAAUAUUCUUCUCAAGAUUGAAGUUUUGUUUUUCUUUUUCAAAAAUUAGUAUAAAUAUUCAAAGUUUUUGGUUUUAUAUUGUUAGUAGUUUUACACGUAUCAAAUUAAAAAAAUUACUUUCUUUUUUCUGUUUCUGCUAUUUGAUACAACUAAUCUUCCAACAGAAAGAUUGAAGUUGAAAGAAGAUAGUCUAGCAGGGAUCUCCAUCAUGUUGUUGAUAAGCACACAAUAUCUAUGUAUUAAACAAUCUAUAUAAAUGGCUGAGCAUGUAUGCACUUUCCCUGAUCAAAUCGGGUUUUUGUUGGCUAGAUAUUGUUAAAAGUUGCAUGCUUUGAUGUCUUUAGAAUCAUUGUUUAAUAUAGUUUUUAAUGGAUGGAACAGUGAUAUAGAAUCAUUGUUAAACAUGGUUUAAAUGGACGGAACAGUGAUAUAGAAUCAUUGUUUAACAUAGUUUAAAUGAAUGGAACAGUGAUAUAGAAUCAUUGUUUAACAUAGUUUAAAUGGAUGGAACAGUGAUAUAGAAUCAUUGUUAAACAUGGUUUAAAUGGAUGGAACAGUGAUAUAGAAUCGUUGUUUAAUAUGGUUUUUAAUGGAUGGAACAGUGAUGCAUUAAAACUUCUGAUUGUUUUGCUGCAUUCAGCUUUUCUUCUUUUCUUUCCUUGUGCCGAGUUUGAUUCUUUAUAUAUUGUCCUGAUAGAAAUGCAGAUAGCUGGGGUGGGGGUCAUGAACAGACGUUUUUUGUUUUUUUUUAAGUAUAGCCUCAAACUGAUAAAAGUAAAUAUGAAUGAAAACUUUUGCAAUUACUAGUAUCUAAUGUUGGAAACAUGGUCAGUUGAAUGGAUAAGUAUGAUCAAUUGAUGUACAUUACAAGAUCAAUGUCAGAUUUUGUGACAAUUUCCUUGACAAACAAUGGACUAAAUAUAUGAGUAAAUUACAGAAAUAUCUCUUUACAUAAUCAUUUAGGCCUAAUAAAGGGGCAAUGUUAGACCUAUUUCUGUGCCAUUACCUAGCUGUGUUAGUUAUUUUGGAUAUGGUGGUUGUGUGAAAUUAGUAUGCUGUAUUAAUACUUUAUAAUUUGAGAAAACAUGGCUUAACUUAGUAUCAUAACUAUAAACAGCAGUACAUAAAAAUAGUACUUGUACCUAGUAUUUUGUUACUUUUUGAAACUUAGAUAAAUCUCACAGAAUAUAAGUUAUUUGUAAGUUGCUACAGUAGAGUGCUUGCUACUUCUGUUAUUUCACAUGAACUGAUAGAGUUGAAAAGUUUAACUAUGUGUAGGCUUGAUGUUCACUGAUUGACUUCUGAUAAUAUUUUUAUUGGUUGAGCCUUUCUAUAAUUGUGCUUAUUGGCUAUGUAUUAUGAUUAUUCUGGAAAUUCUGUUGGUUAUGUAUAGAAAUGUUGUUAUAUAUAUAAAAAAAAAAGAGUUUUGAGGGUUUUUUAGUUUCAAUAAAAGUUAUGAAAUCACUUUUCUGUUGGUGAAAGUGAUGAAUGAGGUUUAGUGACACAGAGUAGCCAAUGUCCAUUUUCAACAAUGAAAUGAUGCAUCA
rnacentral:misc_RNA from 1 species